UACGUAGGGAGCAAGCGUUGUCCGGAAUCAUUGGGCGUAAAGCGCACGUAGGCGGCCCUGUAAGUCCGCUGUAAAAGUCAAAGGCUCAACCUUUGAAAGCCGGUGGAUACUGCAGGGCUAGAGUCCGGAAGAGGCGAGUGGAAUUCCUGGUGUAGCGGUGGAAUGCGCAGAUAUCAGGAGGAACACCUGUGGCGAAAGCGGCUCACUGGACCAUAACUGACGCUGAUGCACGAAAGCUAGGGGAGCAAACAGG
rnacentral:rRNA from 1 species